GACGAACGCUGGCGGCGUGCUUAACACAUGCAAGUCGAACGGAAAGGCCCUGCUUUUGUGGGGUGCUCGAGUGGCGAACGGGUGAGUAACACGUGAGUAACCUGCCCUUGACUUUGGGAUAACUUCAGGAAACUGGGGCUAAUACCGGAUAGGAGCUCCUGCUGCAUGGGGGGGGCUGGAAAGUUUCGGCGGUUGGGGAUGGACUCGCGGCUUAUCAGCUUGUUGGUGGGGUAGUGGCUUACCAAGGCUUUGACGGGUAGCCGGCCUGAGAGGGUGACCGGCCACAUUGGGACUGAGAUACGGCCCAGACGCCUACGGGAGGCAGCAGUGGGGAAUAUUGCACAAUGGGCGGAAGCCUGAUGCAGCAACGCCGCGUGCGGGAUGACGGCCUUCGGGUUGUAAACCGCUUUCGCCUGUGACGAAGCGUGAGUGACGGUAAUGGGUAAAGAAGCACCGGCUAACUACGUG
rnacentral:rRNA from 1 species